UCUCCGUUGGCGAACCAGCGGAGGGAUCAUUACCGAGUUUUCUACUCCCAAACCUCUGUGAACUUAUACCUUUACCGUUGCUUCGGCGGGUUAACGCCCCGGAAAGGCCCCCGAAAGGGAGCCGCCCCGGAACCAGGCGCCCGCCGGGGGACCCAAACUCUUGUAUUUUCUUACCUAGCAUGUCUGAGUGGAAUCAUAAACAAAUGAAUCAAAACUUUCAACAACGGAUCUCUUGGUUCUG
rnacentral:misc_RNA from 1 species